GAGUUCUGUUGGUGGUGUCGG
rnacentral:piRNA from 1 species